CAUAUACCACAUAAUCUCUGUUUUUCAUGGUACCAUUGAGAUCCAUACUUGCUGUAUCUUUUCCUUAUCUUCCUGUUUCCCUCAGUGCUAAGCACAGAGCACUCCAUAUAGUGUCAGUAGAUGCUUAAUGCACUUAAUUGAAGUUAUUUACAGCCAGUGUAAUGACUUAAUUUUCUAAAGAUAAACAUCCAACUACAUCCACAGAAGGGGAAAGAGCCCUCCUCUGUGGAGUGUAUGGUUAAGUAAUGGAUAGUAUAACAUCACCACAUAGCCAGCAACAGAAAACCAGCAGCAAAUGUAUGAAAACAGCCCACUUUACUCAUUGGGAAAAAUCUGCUAUCAUAAGAGGUGUUAUUGUUCUGACAGACAAAGCUCAUCAUUCUCAGUAACAAUAGACUGACUGAAAUUUGCAAUUUCACAACCAUUUGGCUUCCCAAUUAACAGUUAUUUUUUGAUUGACAUUUUGAGUAUAUUGUUAUUAAGUCAUUUCCUUCCCUUUCCCCAAACCUUUGGCUUUCAAAAUGAAAAUGCGUCAAUGGAAAAAAAUCUAGGUUAGAAGGAUUUUCAUGGAGGAGAGGGAGAGAUUUUUGGUCAGCUGUCCCUCUGUUUUUAUAUGAUAACAUAAAUAAAUAAAUAUAAUUGAAGUAUGGGAUCCUUGAAUCAUAACCCUAAAGAAGCUAAAUAGUCCUACUACCUCAUUUUACUGAUAAAGCACUGAAGGAAAGUGAAUUGUUUAAAGUUACCUGAAGUAAACCUUUGAUGUAUGAUUUAAACCUGGGUCCUCAAACUUCUGAGUCAACCUGCUUUUUUCUUUGUAAUAAUUUAUCUCGUUUGAUUUUGAUUUAAUUAAUGUUGUUCUGGAAAGGCAGCAGGAUAUAAAGAUUGGAGGGCUAACUUCAGACUUCAAAUUCUGCUUCACAUAUUAUUAAUAGCAACAUAAAUAAAUCACUUAAUCUCUUAGUGCUUCAAGAGACUGUUUAGGAUUUUUUUUUUUUUUUUUUUUUUUUUUUUUGAGACAGUCGAGUAUAAGUGACUUGCCGCUGGUCAUAUAGCUAGUAAGUAUCUGAGGCUGAAUUUGAACUCAGGUCCUUUAGAUUCCAGGGCCAGUACUUGCUCCACUGUACCACUUAGUGGUAGCAGAUUUUUAAUUAUAAAUGAAUUGCUCAUCUUUGGUGAUGGAAGAAAUUCCUAUGCUAGGAGUUCUUGCUAGUCACAGAUUUGGGCUUCUCUCCUAACCACUCCUCCCUCCCCCCAGAGUCAGAUUACUCUGACUCUAUAGAAUGAGAGCAAGUCAGGACAAAUAGCUUCCAUUAUUUUCUUAUUAUUAUCAAGAAUUGGAACCUUGGUAAAAUUCCCACUCUCUAAUCACUCAAUAAGCAUUUAGUAUAAAUGUCUCUUAUCCAGAACUGAGAUGACUACUGGAAACACAAAAACAAAAGUGAAAUGGUUCUUGCCUUCAGUAAGAUUAUAUCGUAUCAAAGGAGGCAACAUGGAACUCAUAAAAAGUAUCCAAGAUAUAUCUUAAAAAAAUACAAAGUGAGAGAUAGAUUGAGUUAGCAGAGGUGGGAAGUAGUGAGGUAAAUCAGGAGAGACCUCAUUUAUGCUGACCUUUGAAAAAGGUGCCAUUAUAGUUGACCUUUAAAGGAAGCUAGAAAUUCAAAGAGGCAGAAUACUUUAUUUAGCUUUGUAACACCUAGUUAUUUAAUCUGGGUGGGGAUUGAAGACACACACACACACACUCACACACACUCACAGACCACUUUUCCUUUAGCAUCACCUUCAAGUCAUCUGCUUCAUUUGUUUUCCUAUUAGUAGAUGACAUUUAUUUUUCAGUCUUGACACCUUAUUCACUUUACUCUUCAAACAAAAUAAAAACUAAAAAAAAAAAAACCAAAACAAUGACAAUGUAGUAAAAUAAAAAAUGAAAGUUGUGUCUUGAAAAUAUAAAAUAAUACUGAUGUAGAAGGCUAGGGGCAAAGUUGUAUUUGUACAGUAAACAAAACAUAAACAAAAAGCCCUGUGUAUACUUACAAAAUGUUGAAAGGAUCUCCAGUGUUUUUUUUUUUUUGAACUGGAACAUAUUUAUAAGAACUGAGAGCAAAGCCCUGCCUCAGGGUGUGGUAAACAUAUCCAGGACCCAGAAAGCCAGGAUCUGAGCUGAGAGAAGAGGAGGCCUGUCCUCUCAGGGAUAGGAAAGAGCAGAUAACUAGGGUGUGAGAUUGACUUGGCCAGGCAGGGCCAGUCCUGCCUUUGCUCAGGGACAUGUGUGGAAUUUUAAUCCCUACUGAGCAACUGAAGUUCAAACAGUGUUUAUUACAUAACCAGUGAGUUUUAAAAAAGUGAUUCUGGUGCUUGGAGAAAGGCGUCUCAGCUAGCUUUUGAGGGAAUUUGACUUUCCAUUGUGUGUGUGAAUUUGCAAACCUUUGUGGACCUGACCUUGUGUCUCAUUCCUCAAGGCAACAAUAGUUCCUAAGAAACCAUUUGUUGAUUUAAGAAGUGGUUCUGUAAAUAAAGGGGUUUCCCAUUGGCCCAUAAGAACUUAAUUAGGCUGGAUGAAUGGAAAACUCACCUUUGAUUACUCCUUCUAAUCACCUUUUGAAUGAGUGAAUGAUUUCUGGCUAGCUACCCCAUUUCAUUGUUUCAACCAGUUCAAUUAAGUUGAAUUAUUCAUUAAAUAUUAGUGUGUUAGACAUUGUAGAAUUAAAGUUGAAAAAGUGACAGUCCCUGGCCGUAAAUUAAAGAAUUUGCAUUAUACCAGUGUAUGGGUUGGAGUGGCAGGUUAUGACAUAUACCUAGUAUGUAUAAUAUUUAAUAUUUAUGCAGCUUCAAAAAUAAAUGCAGCAUUCUGUGUUAAAUAGAUGCAUUUUAAGGACAUUGUAAUGGAAAUGCAUUGCAAGAAGCUUUAUCUUCAUUAGAUGAAUGAGUGGUAUUUUUUUGUUGUUGUAUUUUUAGACUUAACCAACUCAAUGCAUUCAUGUCAUUAAAAGCUAAGAUACAAAAGGGAAUUAUUAUUAUUAUUAUUUACCUCUAAUGUGCAAUUCAACCACUGAGUUUUUCCUUCUUGGGAAGUGGCUUUUUCUUGAUAUGUUACCAGAAACUAGCUCAGAGGCCACCAAAAUAUGGCACACAAAAUACCUACAUAUAUUGCUAAAAUGAAUGGGUGGAUAGAUAAGUAGGUGUGAAGUGAGAGACAGAUCUUCAAGUUUUUCAUCCUAAGGGGAGAAGAGAAAAGUAAUCAAAUGACUGAAAUACUGGGCAGAUGACACCAUAAGAAAAGAAUAAACAAUUUACUUUGGGGAUUUAAAACAAAAAUGGACAGUGGAAAGUUGAUAAGGUAUCAACUUUCCACUGUCCAUCUUUCCACUGUCCAAUCUGAGGUGGCAAAGAGAAUAAUAGAGCAUUGGGCUUGGAAUUAGGAAAAUUCUUCAUGAGUUCAAAUUUAUCUUCAGAUUCUUACUAGCUGUGUGAUUCUAAAUCAUUUAACCCUAUUUGCCUCAGUUUCCUUAUCUGUAAAAUGAGCUAGAGGAGGAAAUGGCUAACCAUUCCAAUAUCUUUACCAAGAAAACCCCAAAUGGGGUCAUGAAGAGCCAGAUAUGACUGAAAAAAGAAGUAUUCAGAUAUGACUUGAUUUCUUAGUCCUUUUCAAGAAUGAUAUUCUGUUCUUCUAUGAAGUACCACCUCUGUGACCUUGGGCAAGUAAUUUAACUGUUGAAAUCUCAGUUUCCCCAUCUGAAAAAAAUAAUGGAGUUCAACAUGAUUUCUAAGAUCCCUUCAUAUUUCUCAAUCCUAGAACUUCAAAUUGAAUUUUUCAGAGGGAACAAUAAUUUCCACAUCAAUAUUUUCUCAACUAGUCCCUAUUAUUACUGUGUAUAUCACCAUGGUCUAGGUACACAUUGGCUUGGUAUAUUUACUUUAGUUGUGUCCCAGAUGUAAAUUGGGCUCUCUUUCAUAUUUCUUACAUUUUAGUUUCAGUUUACCAGUUGUAGAUAUUAAGCUUUAAAAAGAAAAAAAAAAAAGACUUCCAUUUUGCAUCAGUUUUUCUCUCCCUAAACCCUCUGUGGUCAUUGCACAUAUUACAAACAACAGCAUGUAGUCCCAGGUUGCUUAUCAAAGGUAAUUAAAUCUCAGAGAUUUCUCAGGAUUCAUAAACUGCCUAAGCUCAGGACCUACCAGUUAUAAAUGUAGCAAAACUUUGCGAUGAAAUUGCAACUUGGUAUCCAAGCUGAAGCUACUUAGUCUUUCCUUUGCAAAAAGUCUUGAGUGCAUCUAUUGAAGAGUAGCGGUCUAGGGAAAUAGAAUUAUCAACAUUCUCAAAGGUAAUUUUUUUCCUCCCGACUCUAUCUUUUUAUUCCCCCUCUCCCUCACCCCAUUCCUCUUAACUUCUUAGGCAAGGAAAGAAAUGUAUGUAAAUUACAGAAAUGACAUCUAGGGCUGCCAAAAGGCUUUUCAGGAUGGUAAGGGGUGACUAACUGAAAGGGAAUCAUUUGCAUAAUUUCCCAUGAUCCUUUGGAGAUGAGUUUUACAAAGAGAAACUGAAAGCUUCUAUAGUUAUAACCUAAAGGUGGCUUUGUCCAGAAGUUGGACAGUCAGACAGAAGUUGGUCUGACAUUGUAGCUAAGUUAAACAACAGUAUAUAAGGAACAGACACAAAGGAUCUUUUUAGAUCUUCUUGAAAUCAUAACAAUAAUAUCCUUUUGUCAUAGUCCUUUUGGUCUGCAGAAACCUGUCCUCAAAACAACCUUAUUGAAUUUGUUCUUGUUUGUCAUUUUUCAGUCGGGUCCAGCUAUUCAUGAGCCAGUUGAAGUUUUCUUAGCAAAGAUCCUUGCAGUGGUUUCCCAUUUCCUUCUCCAGUUCCUUUUACAGAUGAGGAAACUGAUUUAACUAGGGUUAAAUGACUUGUGCAGAAGAUAACUGUCUGAGGCUAGAUUUGAACUCUGGAAGAUGAGUCUUUCUGACUCUAAACCUGGCACUCCAUUCUCUGUACCACUUGUCAUUUUCUCAUUUUGCAGGUUGGGAACUGUGGGCUCAGAGAGAUUAAUGAUAUGAGUAUAUUCAUAAAGCUUGUAUCUGGAACAAAAAACAGAACCUGUAUUUUCUGUUUCAAGCCCGCUGCUUUUUCCAUGGUAUCAAGCUGCUUCCUUAACUUGCCCUUAGUCUUGCUAAAUGCCUCACUUGUGUAAACUCCUUAUUCUGAUUUUCCUUUAGUCCCUUGUGAGUUAGGUUCAGAAAGCAUUGAGUCAGGUUUCAUUCAACACAUGUCCUAUUGGCAUUCUAGUCUUAUGUUCCUUCCUGUAAAGAACUAAGGAAACAAAGGGAAGGUGGUGAUUACUAGGCAGCAGAUAGAAUACAUUCUGAAAAUGAAAUACAUCAUACUGACCUGCUUCAGAUACCAAGAGGAGGGCCUUUGCUUGGAGGACCACUCAGCUUCCUUUGCUCAUUCCAUAAUUGCUGGGUGCUUUGUGAUUUUUUUCACGAGUUUUUCCUCACUAAUUGGGAGGUGAAUUUGAAGGAACCCAAAGGAGUAGUUAAAAGUGAGUUAAAAAUGACUCUGGGUUCCUUAGCAAGCUAUUUGGCUCAUCAAACUAAAGGUUUUUUCAGAAAGGCUAUCAUGAUAGACUCUUUUCCCUGAGGAGUACCUUGGGUUGUCAUUUUUAGAAACAUAUAUAUAUAUAUAUAUAUAUAUAUAUAUAUAUUUUAGAUAGACUCAGCAUGGUAUAGGGAAUCAGGCACAGGGCUUGGAGUCAGAAAGAAACAGGAUCAAAUCUUGCCUCAGAUAUUUACCUUAACAUCUCUGUGGCUCAGUGUCUUUAUCUGUUUAAAAAAAAAAAGACUUUCUAAGGUUCCUUUCAACUCUGAAUCUAUGUCUCUCUUUUCAAAUGUUAAUUUUUUCAUAGCUAAAAAAAAACUCAGUUAAGAUGGUUAAUGACCCCAGGCCUUAUGGAAAUUGUAAUAUCUUUCUUUUAAAAAAAAAAAAGCAUAAAGUAUGUAUUAAUAUUUAAUCCCUAUGAUUUGGAAGAACUUAAAACUGCAAUUAGAUGGCAGAGCCCAUCUGCUCCAAGCAGUUGAACAACAGUCUAUUAAAUAACUUGGAGGGUGAAGAGGACUGCCAAUCACCUUUAGAUUAUUCCUUAACAAAGUGUGCACAGGCUCUCAAGAGGGAGAUCCAGAUGGUGAAGGAAACUCUGCAGGCCAUGAUUGUGCAGCUCCAGCCAGCAGAGGCCGGGGACUUCCUGUGUGACAGCUGGUGUCCAGAAAAUCCGGGGUGGACAAGUGAUGGGGGAGGUGGGAGAGAAGACGGUUUUACAGUUUCAUAAAUCCCAAUUCCCAGAGAGCUGCUUUGGGUAACUGAACCCUCUUACACACUAAACUGGACACACCUCUUUGCAUUCUACUUCAUAAAUUCUCAAGGAGAAUUUAUGGAAACUGGAGCCUAAAGGUCAUUCACCAUUGAGAGAAGAUUAUUCUGUUUCUUAAAGACUGGCACAGACCACGAAAACAGGUUUCCAUGAAGCAUGUGUGCUGAUUGGAAUUGGGGAGAUUGUAAAUUAAUAUGGCAGAGAGUGAAAAAGAGAUGCUGAUUUUGAAUGGCUGCACCAUUCAUUUUGAGGGAUGCUUCAAAUAUGUUAUUAACCAUGGUUUCCCUGCUCACAAUUUUGAAAGUUUUUUUCUUUCUUUCAUAACAAUGAUGUUCAAGUGUUUUCCUUCCAGCCCUCAUUGGAGACGGGAAUCCUGAUAGACAAAUGGUUUUUCCCCCUCCCACUGACUGAAUUUUCUUGCUUUGUACCAAACUAAAAAUAUUUUCUCAUAAAAGAGAAAUCUAAACAACAGUCAAUUUUUCCUCACCUGUGCUUGGACUGCAUUUUCCUGGAGGCACAUUAUAUAACAGAGAUAAUUAACCUCAGAAUGUUGAGUAGCUUUUCAUCUUAUUUCAUCUGUGACUUACCAAUGACUCACAAGAACUUAAUACCAGAAACCUAAAACAUAUUUUUUAAACGACAGCAGCCUCUAUUGUGUAAAUGACUAAUUAUCUUUUAAAGAGAUGAUUUCUUGCUAAGCCCUUUGUUUUUUCAUGCUUUUGACUGCUUUUGCUAUAUUCUGAAACUCAACUCUAAAGUCUAUAUAUGCAUUGGAGGGAUUAGUUGAUAAUGUGAGUUGGCUUUUACAAAAGUCUUAUUUUCUUCCCUGAUCUUUUUCACUGAUUUGUCAGACAGGAAAUGGAAAUGAAAACCUAUCCAUAGAUGAUACAGUGUUCAAUAACAGCUUUUUGCAUUAUAAGCCCAGUGCUCUUCCUUUUGGCAAAAUCAAGAUAGUGUUAAACUCUUGAUAAAAUAGUUAUGUAGAAGGGAUUUCUAUCACACUGACCCACUUUGGUUAUUUUUCAUCCCCAAUCCUCUAACUGAAACAAACUGAGACCCUAAACACUGACUGUAGGACAUAUGUUAAGAAGAAAUUUUAUCUAUUGAGUAUGGUUAAAGACCAUGAGCUCCCCCAUAACUUUGAAGCUAGACAUUGUCCUGAGUUCAUAGUGGGCCUGAUGACAUUCUGAAGCAAGGAUAAUCUGCAAAUUCAUUUUAUUCUGUUUUGUUUUUAAGCAAUGGUCCUGUCUUGAUUUGGAAGCAUUAACAACAUGAAAAAACUUCUAUUUUAAUCUAGAAAAAUGACUUUACUUAAAUUAACAAUUAGCAUCUGAGAGUAGGCAAAGAGCUGAAUUUGAUUAUUUCUGCUUUUCUUCCUCCUCUUGGGAAGCUAGGUGGCACAGUGGAUAGAUAGAGCACCAGGUCUGGAGUUAGGAAGACCUGAAUUCAAAUGUGGCCUUGCACACUUACUAGUUGUAUGAGUUACUAGUUUACUUACUUACUAGCUGGGUAAAUUAUUUAUUUAAUGCUCAGUUCUCUCAUCUGUAAAAUGAGCUGGACAAGGAAAUGGCAAACCACCCCAUUAUCUUUGCCAAGAAAAUUCCAAAUGGGGUCAUAAAGUUGUCAGAUAUGACUGAGCAACAAAAGCUCCUCUCUUAUCCCCCAGCAGAAAAUAACAAGCAUUUUCUAUUUAGUCAUAUGUAUAUACCUUUUUAUGUAAAGUCAUUUUAAUAACUAAAUUGUUUCUUUUAUUGAGCAUUUGAGUUGUUUAUAGUGAAAGGGUCAGUACUACAAUUAUUCACUAAUAUCUUUAUAAAAUAUUAUGACUUUUGGUCUUAUUUUUAUUCAAAAUAAAGGAAACCUUAAAAAGGAAACCUUAUAUUUUCUAAUUUCCAAGUAUGAAUUCUUCAUUUGGAUAACUAAAGCACACGUAUCUGAUACCUGAUUUUACAAAAUGAAAUUAGACUUUUGUUUAUGGGUACUGACAAAGCUAGUUUUCUGUGAGCACUGGAUCUAUAAGUCAUUGAGAAAAAAAAUCAAUCCACCUGAUUAAGCACAAUAAAACAAUUAGGAUGUAGUUGAAAAUAGCUAUUAAAUUGUCCAAGUCACAUGGAACUUUCUAUGGGUCAACAGUUCCAUUUAACUAUUUCUCUUUUUCCUUAAUGCCUACUGCCAUCUUCCUCAAAAUCAUGGACCAGCUUUUAAGAAUAUUUUAGUCUAGAGGUACUCCAGAGCUGAUUUGAUCAUAUAUUUUAUAUUACAUCUCAUCUGGGUUUGAUAUUUGACUUGUUCAAGAGCCUCUAUUUAAACCUAUUUCCCUUUUAAACAGACAACAUCCCUCAGGUCACAUCUCCCUAACUGCUCUAUAGCUGAUGUGUUCAAGAAUCUGGUGGGCUUAAAAAUACCUCCCUUUCCUCUUUGAUCCCGAUGGGCUCAGGAUCAUAUGUCUCCAGGCUAUAGACAGAGCAACUGAAAAAUGGCCAGGAAACAGGUAGAACUCAAUUUUCAGGUUAGAAGAAUUUGUUAUGGCUUCAGUCACAAGCCAAAGUCAAUGCUGUAAAUGAUUAUGUGCAGUGAUACAAGGAGUGAACAAACUACUUUGUCUCUCAUAAGUAGAGGACAUACUGAAAAGUUGGGGUUUUGCGAAGCACACCGGGUCCACCCACAGCUAUAUGGGGGUCAGUAUUAUAAAGAAGUAAUAGAUUCCUAGUUUUUAGACAAGUUCCUACUGCCUUCUCUCCAAAUGUCAUUAAUAUAUUAAUCAUUUCUGAAAUACCCCUACUAUGUUGUAUUAGAGACUACACUUCAAUCAAAGGAUCUGGCUGUUACUUCUCAGGAUUUAUAAAAUGAUAUUAGCAACCUCAGGGAAUAUGGAUGUUUCUCCCAUCCAAAUAAGGUACAGAGAAUGACACAAUGAUGACCCUAGCUUCAGAACCACAAGUCAAGAUCUUAAGCAGAUGGAAUUACAGAGGUCUAAAUCUAUCCUUUUGUUUUAUAGAUGAGGGUACUGAGGCAUAAGGAACUUAAAUAAUUUGCCAAAAGUCACACAGUUGGAAGGAUUGUAACUCAGGUUCUUUGAUUCUGGGAUAUGAGAGAGAUACCAUUGUUACUUUUAAUUAGAGGACCAGAUUUUGAGGUAUCCAAAAGACUGUUUCAUAGAAAUACAGUUUGAUGUGUAUUCUAUUUGGCCAAGAAGGGCAUUACCACAAUCGAUGGUUAGAAGUUGCAAAAAGUAAAUUUAAUCUUGACAUUAAGAAAAAUUUCUGAGUUGCCAAUAAGUAAAAUUAUUCUCUCUCUGUUAGAAAUCUUCAAAUAGAGGUUUAAUCUCUACUUGAAUAUAUGCAUACUAGUAGGGUUUUUUUUUUCCGAUUGGGGUUGGACUGGGAUGACAACUUCAAUCCUUUCCAAACUCGAAAAUUCUAGGUAGUACCAGGGAUAGAACACUACAAGUAGAAUUAGGAAGACUUAAAUUCUUAAAACUACCUGUGUAACCCUGGGCAAGCCAUUUAAUCUCUGUCUCAUAUUCCUUAUCUGAAAAAUGAGGAUAAUAUCAGCACUUACCUCUGAGGGUGUUAUAAGGAUAAAUGAAAUAAUUGUUAUAAGGAUAAAUGAAAUAAUAUUUGUACGUUGCUUUGGAAACCUAAAAGUGCUAUAUAAAUGAUGAUUAGUGUCAUCAUGAUUCUUUGUACUCUGGAUCUGUUAUUUUCUAUUAGUAUGAUUUUCAAAUCUCUUUACUUCUUUGACCUCAGUUUACUUAUGAAUAAAAUAAGGCAUUUGGGCUGUAUGAUUUCUAAAGUCCCCUUAUUGAUUUAUUGACCAUAAUUCUACAUUCUCAAGCCUUUGGAUUGUAUAAUUUUCACAAAAAGGAAGUACAUACUGAAUCCUAAAUUACCACAAGUAAGUCUCCAUAUCAAGAAGAGACAGAACUAAAAAUACAGGUUCCCUUCUGGGAGAGUUAUCAGUCACAUACUCUAGGAUAUGGAACCUUGUUACUUAGAAUGAUGAAACCAAGUCCUUCCACAGAAAAAUAAACUUUAUCUUGUAGUAGACAACUUCAGUAUUCACAAUCUUGAUGACAUUUUCCAGUAAAAGGAUGUGUAUGAACAUUGUGAUCUUAGCUCUAAAGUGAAGAAGAAAUUCAAUAUGCUCAUCUGUUAAUAAUUUUAUGCCCAUGUAUUUUUAAUAAUUUUAUUUUUUAAUUAUUCACAUUUGAUUUGUUCUGAGAAUUUUAUUUUAUAAUUUAUUACUCUAUUAAAUUCACUUUUUAAUCAAAUGAAAUAAAAACUGAUGUGAGAGCUUGAUAUAUUCCUGUAAUUUUUUUCAUUUUCUGGAUUGCAGGUGCUCUAUGGUUUUCAUGUAACUGUCAUCUAACGGAUUGAAAUAAUAAUACUGUAUCAUGAAAAUGUUUUAAAAAACAAUAUUUUUAAAAAAUCUAUUUUUGCUUUUAUCUGGCAGUGCUCUAAUUAAUUAGCUUAAGAUGUAUAAUAAAAUGAGAGAUGGAAUUCAGGAAAUUAUUAUUAAAAACAUCAUCUUCUACAGAAGGCUGUUGCUGGUCUCCCACUUAUCCCCUGCCAUCCCUCUGAAAUUGCCUUCCAUUUAUAUCUGUCUUGUGCAUACACACAGUUAUUGGCAUAUUGUUUCCUCCAUUAGGAUGUGAGCUCUGUGAGGGCAGGAUUCUUGCUUUUGCCUUUCUUUAUAUUCCUAGGGCUUACCAUAGUGCCUAGAACAUAGUGAACACUUAAAUGCUUUUUGACUAGUUGAGUAAAACCAAAAUGACAGAUGGACCACCCAUGUGCUUCACCAGUAGCUACAAAAUAUCAAGAGAUGGAACCAAAGGUCUCCACUGCAUAGGAUAGAUUGUCUGUGGAGACAUAAUGUGAGCACAUGUGUAAGAAUCAUUUAGGAUGGAAAGGCAUAAUUGCAUCUAUAUAGAGAGUAUCCAUUACAAUGAAAUGAUAGGUCUAUUAAAGUAUAUAAUUCCCUUAAAAUUUUUAGCUCAGAAAUUCUUAUGCAAGAUAAUAUACUCUUCAUACAAUACUUUCAAAUUCCCUUUCUUUUUUAUUUUUUUCAUUAAAGCUUUUAAUUUUCAAAACAUAUUAACGGAUCUUUCAACAUUGACCCUUGCAAAACCUUGUGUUCCAAAUUUUCUUCUCCUUCUUCCAACUGCCUCUCCUACAUGGCAAGUAAUCCAAUAUAUGUUAAACAUGUUAAAAUAUGUUAAAUCCAACAUAUGUACACAUAUUUAUACAAUUAUUAUACUGCACAAGAAAAAUGAGAUCAAAAAGGGGAAAAAUGAGAAUCCCUUUCUUUUUAAAAAAUUUCACUUAAUAUUUUCCUUAAUUACAUUUCAAACAAUUUUUAAACAUUUGUUUGUGAAACUUUUAAGUUCUAGAUUCUUUCAAAUACCCUUUUACUUGUUGUAGAAUACAUGGUAUAUUCUAAAUAACUCAUUCUCAAAAGUUAAUAAUUUUGAGGGAAUAUUUAUAGAGAUAAAAGGCAAUUGUCUGCUUCAGAGAAAACAUAGGUCUGCCCAUUCUUUAGUGGGAAUGCCAUUGAUUGUGCAAGAAUUAGCUGAAAGAUAUUGUGAUGUUGCAUAUUAGCAACCAAAGUAGUCAAGACAGAUGAAACCAGUUGUGUCAAGAAUGAAUAAUUUCUGCCCUUAACAUAUGCCCAAUAUUUAAACAACAUUAUUUUUAUUUUCUAAUUUAUCUCCCCUUUUUAAAGGGAUUAGAGACCAUUUUAGGUUUUCAAAGCACUUUGCAAGAAAAACAAAACCCGUUACAAACCUACAUAUAAUUUAUGUGUAUACACACACACACGCACACGCACACACACACAAGCAAAACAAAUUCCUUCAGUGACCAUGUCCAAAAAAGGAAGGAAGAGAAAGAAAGGAUGGAAGAAAGAAGGAAGGAAGGAAGAUAAAACGAACUUUAAUUUGUAUGCCGAAUCCCUUAUCUCUUUAUCUGGAGAAAUAGUAUGACAGGUAGUAGAUAUGGGAGAUGUUGGCAUAGGAUUGCCCUGCAUGGAGUGCCCUUUCAAAGAAGGCGCUAUGUUUUAUAAGCAAAGAAGAAUCAAAGUCACACCAAGAAACAUGAGAUGUGCAAAUGUACUGUUAUCUACAUCCCUAAUGAUCAGACUAUUUGUGUCCAGCCAGUGGUAGAGCUUUCUGAGUUUAUAUUGGAUGAUUAGCCACAGUUGGACACACUCUGCUUAACCCUAACACCAUGAUGUUAUUGGUCCUCUCUGAGUAGGAAGAACUAACAACAAUGGAAUGAAUAAUAUGUUUCAUGGAGUGUCUUUUGGAUAUGUGGUUGGUCUUGUAAUGAUCAUAGUUUCUAAGUCUUUUAAAGUUGUUUGUGAUAUUUUUCUUGUUGUAUAGAUUAUUCUCCCUGUUCUACUCAUUUAAUUUUGUAUCAGAUCACACAAGCCUUUCCAAGUUUUUUGGAACCUUCCUCCUAUUAUUUUCCCAUACCAUAUCUUAUUCAGUCAUUCUCCAAUUGAUAGGCAUUUCCUGGUUCUUGCCAUGAUGACAAAAGAACCUCUAUACAUAUUUUGUCAAAUAUAUUCCAUUCAUAUUUUUUUCUUUUUUUAUUGAGAAUACAAAAUAAGAAAAAAACAGAAUAGAAAAAUAAAUAAAGGAAAACUAAAAAGCAAAAUAAAAUUAAAUAUUGUCAUGUAUGUAAAAGAACAUCAGGGAGGAUUCAAAAUAUAUAAAAAUAAAUUUUCAUUUCAAGAAAACAUAUAUAAUAAUAGAAGAGAUAUCCAAACAGAAGAGACUGCCUGUUUUUUCUUUGCUUCCUUGUAGGUUAUUCUUUUGUUCUCUGCUGUGCACUUUUAAUGUUAUUCUCCCCUUCUCCCCCUAACCCCCCUUUUAUCCCCCUCACCUCUGCCAAGCAGGCUACAGUUAAUCACAGAUAUAUUUAUAUAUACAUAUAAUGUAGAUUUCUCUUUUGUUUGAUCUUUAAGUUUGACUUUAAGAUCAAUGAUUGCUGACCUACAUAUUUUUCUAAUAAAUUCUACUCCAGAUCCUUGUUGUAGUGUUUGUGUAUAUCUCUUAUUUUGUAUUCCUGCUAAGUCUUCUACUUUAUUCUACCCCUUAACUUGUCUUGCUAUUAAUUAACAUCCUCCUACCCAUGGAUCCCUCUCUUAUAUUUUCCCCCAACUCCUUCCUUUCAUUUUUAUGCCAUUCUCUUUAAUUUACACAGUUUAUUCCAUUCCUACUAAGUUAUAAACACCUGUAUCUCAUCUUAUCCUAUGCCACUGUUUCUUUCCCCUCUUUAUUUCUUUCCCAUUGUGAGGGACAUAGAAGACCCUUACCCAAAAUGACUACUCAGAGAUCACUCAGUAGAAGGCAGAAAAGUUGUUUAUUGAAAACCUCCGAAGGAUGAGCCGUCCCAUCGCAAGAUAAGAAAGAGAAAGCUUGUGGUAGGAAGGCUAAAGAAGUAGUAAAGAUACAUAGCUUUUAUGCAAGAAAUUACAUUACAAGUAAUAGAGCUUUGAGAAGUGGGGGGAGGGAGGCAUCUAAUUGGUUGUUGCUAUUUGGGGAGAUUGGAAUGGAAGGUUUCUGUUUCCCUGAAAUCUCCUGAUUUCAGGCUUAAUCAAGCAGAUAGUGGUCCAGCUAAUAGACUAAAUAUCGAUAAAUGUCAAAUACCAAUAAACGUCAUCAUCUCAGGUUAAAUAAAUAUGUUUCUAGCUGGCCACGGCUCAAGUAGAUAUGAGCCUGUACAUAUUAUACAAGUCAUAGGGGAAACACAGAAAUAAUGAAAAUAAAAUACAGAAAAAAAUUCAUACAUUCCUGUAAGUUCUUCACCUUAUCUAUUCCCCACACCAUUAAUCUACAUGUUUCUUUCUACUACUGUAAUUCUACAAUGCAAGAUAUUCCCUAUCUUAUCCUUUUUCUCUUGACCAUCAAUCUACAAACCUUGUCCCACUGCCAUAAAUCUACCAUCCUUUAUACCCCACUUUAUCCUAUUCCUUCCCUACUUAUUUAUAGAUUUUGAAGAGUGCUAUACCUUUCAUGGUACAUUUCCUCUUCUUGAUAUGUUCUCCAGGUCUGUUGUUUUUCUUAUAGAAUAUUUCACAUUCUGUUCUAUUUUUUCAUUCUUUACAUUUUGUUUUGUUAUUUCUUGAUCUCAUAGCUUCACUGGAUUUUUCUUGUCCAAUUCUAAUUUUCAAAGAAUUAUUUUCUUCUUUAAAACUCUACAUCUCCUUUUCCAGUUGGUUAACUCUCCCCCUGUCCCAAUUUUCUUGUUUUUGUUGGAUGAUUUUUCUUUUUUUAGUUUUUCUCAAUGUCUC
ensembl:lncRNA